rnacentral:rRNA from 1 species
UACGUAGGGCGCAAGCGUUGUCCGGAAUUAUUGGGCGUAAAGAGCUCGUAGGCGGCUUGUCACGUCGGGUGUGAAAGCCCGGGGCUUAACCCCGGGUCUGCAUUCGAUACGGGCUAGCUAGAGUGUGGUAGGGGAGAUCGGAAUUCCUGGUGUAGCGGUGAAAUGCGCAGAUAUCAGGAGGAACACCGGUGGCGAAGGCGGCAUUCUGGACCGACAUUGACGCUGAGGAGCGAAAGCCAGGGGGGCAAACGGG